rnacentral:lncRNA from 1 species
AUGGGGUCACCGGAGAUGGUGGCGUUCAGCGCAGGCAGCCGCCCAGGCCUGGCCCUGCAUCCACCCCCACGCCCCCUGGUUUCUUCACGCCCUGCAGAGGCCCCAUCACCACACUGGGGGCCGGGGAGGGGCCAGGCGCCUCGUCCCCCACGGUCGCCCGUAGAGGUCCAAGGCUCAGGAGCCGGUGCGCAGCAAGGGCUCCUUGUGCUCAGUGGAGACGCAUCCCCUAGAGACCCGGGGACCGCUGAGGCCCGGCCACUCCCUCCUGAGACCCCCGGCCAGCCUGAAGGGCACUCUGCCUUCUUGAUCCAGAGUCGGGACCAGAUGCCCACAGGCCUCAGGGCCUGCCAGGACCCCCGAGGAGACCGCCACGGGCUGAGGUCACAGCGUCCCCUUCCCAGUCCUGCAGCUCGAAAAUGGGUACAAUCCCGGCGACCCGUCGUUGCCCCCAAGCCGGGGAGGCAGGAGUGGCCGCAGGACGAGGCUGCCCAACAGAGCACGGCCGCAGGUGAGCUCGCAGGACAGACAGACCCCGUGUGA